rnacentral:rRNA from 1 species
CCUACGGGAGGCAGCAGUGAGGAAUAUUGGUCAAUGGGCGCGAGCCUGAACCAGCCAAGUAGCGUGAAGGAUGACUGCCCUACGGGUUGUAAACUUCUUUUAUAAAGGAAUAGAGUGAGGCACGUGUGCCUUUUUGUAUGUACUUUAUGAAUAAGGAUCGGCUAACUCCGUGCCAGCCGCCGCGGUAAUACGGUGGGUGCGAGCGUUAUCCGGAUUUAUUGGGUUUAAAGGGAGCGUAGAUGGGUUGUUAAGUCAGUUGUGAAAGUUUGGGGCUCAACCUUAAAAUUGCAUUUGAUACUGGCAGCCUUGAGUACAGUAGAGGUAGGCGGAAUUCGUGGUGUAGCGGUGAAAUGCUUAGAUAUGAGGAAGAACUCCGAUUGCGAAGGCAGCUUACUAAACAGCCACUGACACUGAUGCUCGAAAGUGUGGGUAUCAAACAGGAUUAGAUACCCUUGUAGUC